CCUACGGGAGGCAGCAGUGAGGAAUAUUGGUCAAUGGACGCAAGUCUGAACCAGCCAUGCCGCGUGCAGGAAGACGGCUCUAUGAGUUGUAAACUGCUUUUGUACGAGGGUAAACGCAGAUACGCGUAUCUGUCUGAAAGUAUCGUACGAAUAAGGAUCGGCUAACUCCGUGCCAGCAGCCGCGGUAAUACGGAGGAUUCAAGCGUUAUCCGGAUUUAUUGGGUUUAAAGGGUGCGUAGGCGGUCGGAUAAGUUAGAGGUGAAAUCCCGAGGCUCAACUUCGGAAUUGCCUCUGAUACUGUUCGGCGAGAGUGUAGUUGCGGUAGGCGGAAUGUAUGGUGUAGCGGUGAAAUGCUUAGAGAUCAUACAGAACACCGAUUGCGAAGGCAGCUUACCAAGCUACUUCUGACGUUGAGGCACGAAAGCGUGGGGAGCAAACAGGAUUAGAUACCCGAGUAGUC
rnacentral:rRNA from 1 species